rnacentral:tRNA from 1 species
GCCUGGGUGGCUCAGUCGGUUGAGCAACCGACUUCGAUUCGGGUCUCGAUCUCGCUAUCCCGUCCGUGAGUUCGAGCUCCACAUCGGGCU